AGACUUGACGCAGCUUCAUCUCAUUUCGGAUGCACCAUGAGCCCCCAACCCCCACUCAGCAGUGCCUUACUCCUGCGUGAGCACUAUAAACUGGACCAAGUGGGAUGAAAAUGGCCAGAAAUUGCUUUUGAUCACUUUAUAUCUUUUAUGACUAAGAAAAAAAAUCAUUUCUGACCAGUUAAAAAUCCAUCUGAGCCAGUUUCAGAUAAUUGUGCAGAGCUGGAGCCUGAGGUCAGUAAACCCAGGAAGAUGGCUGAAGACCAUGCUGACUCAAGCCCAGACAAGGAGCCAGAUUUCUUGGAUUCCAGAUUCACUUCUUCAACUUUACCCUGGACCUGUGGCGAUUGGAAACCUUGAGAUGUGGUACGCAGUAUUAUAAAUCACAUGGACCCUGGAAGGAAGAUGCAAAAGUGAGGGAUCUGGGGAUUGUGUCAGAGACUGUGUUCACAGUGAGGCACAGAAUCAGUUCUAGAAGCACCUCAGGGAAUUCGGAUACAUGUUGUGGCCUGGAGAGAUCACCUCCCCUACCAUCUUACUUAGUGCCUGUCAGUCAUCAAUCUGUAGCUUCUCUGUUACCCUGCUGUACCACAGAAUGCAGCUACUGAGUGGCUUAAGAACCAGCACCUUCAUGGAGUUGCAAAGGUGGAAUAAGUAGUGACGUCCUUCUUUUGCCUGCAAAUAUGUUCUGGUUCCAAAAGUACACUGAUUUUCUCCAUCCAGGUUGAGGGUAUUCAAUGCUUCUUCAAUGUACAUUUCAGGUUUUGUCAGUGAGUUGUUGAUCCUCUCCUUUCACUAGUCCCGACUGGCUGGGAGAUUGUCACUUCAGUCUUCAUGUCCCCCCAUGUUAAGAGUCUCAGCUAGAAUCACACCAAUAUCCACCCAGGAGCCCACCCUGUAACAGGCCUCCAGCUUGACCAAGAGAUGUCCCUUCACAGGUUCCCUUCUUGUUCCCGGCCUUCUCACUUCCCACACUCAUUCUCCCCACGUUUGAUCUUGUUUCCCUCCAUUCCAUCUCCUGUCCAGUUCCUUACCCUGCCUAUAAGAACUGUAGGGAUCCUGAGGGAACAGCGAUAGAGGGAAAAUCCAAACAAUAAUUGGCCCAACCUGAGACUCACUCCUCAGCAGAGAUCCAGUCCCUGACACUAAUAAUGAUACUCUGCUAUGCUUUCAGACAGAAGCCUAACUUCCCUGGGAAGCUCCAGCCAACAGCAGAUUGAGACUGAUGCUGAGGCCUGCCGUCAAGAAUAGGGCAGGACUCUGGAGGUCCUGUGGAAGUGUUGGGGAAAAGAUGAAAAGACGUAAAGACGUGGAGGGGACAGGAACCUCAGAAGAAGACAACCAGAGACAACUAACCCAGUCCCAUGGGGGCUUUCAGAGACUGAGACAUCAACUAAGGAUCAUGCAUGAUCUGGACCUAGACCCCAGGCACACAUGUAGCCUAGGGGAGGCUUGGUCUUCAUAUGGGGCACCUGGCUAGUGGAGGGGUGGGGGGUGUUUCUAACAUGGACUCUAUUGCCUCAUUUCCCUCAAGCAGGGCUGCCUUGCCUGGCAUCAGGGGAUGAAAAUAUGCUCAGUCCCAAUGCGACUUGAUGUGCUGGGGAAAGUUGACAUGGGGAGAGGCGGUUCCCCUUUUCUGGGGGGAAAGGGGAAGGAGGAAGAAGGAGAAGUGUUGGGGGGUACUGGGAUGAAGGGAGGGAAGGAGUACCCUUGGGAUGUAAAGUAAUAAACUAAUGUAAAAGUUAAAAAAGGAAAUAAUUGUGUUAAGUAAUUAAGGCAGUACCAGAAAGACGAAUAUUGUAUAUUUUUCUCAUUGUUGCUCCUCGAUUUUAUAUAGAUAUAUAAAAUUAUGACAUGAAAGUAAAAUGAGACUGUCUAAGGGACAAAAGGAUUAACAGGAGGGAAAGGGGUGAGAAGGGGAGAGUGGGAGAGUGUGGGAGCAAUAUGUUUAAUAUACAAACCACGCUUGUAUGAAACUGAAAUAUAAAUAAAUCCAGAAGAAAAUGAGAUGAGGUAAAUAUGGCAAUAUUUUCCUCAUGGAUAUGCAAAUGAAAUAGUGCCAGCUGUUAAAAAGAUAUAUAUUGUCUUCAUUACUCUAUCAGUGUUGCCGAAAGACCAACUGGUUGUAUACAUGUGGGUGUACUCGUGAGUUCCAUUCUGUUUGGCUGGUCACUUGCUUUACAUUUACAUUUACAUUGCUAUAAAUUUGCCAUGCUUAUUAUGGCUCAUAAUAUGGUUUUGA